CAUGUCCGUUCUUUUCUCCCUUCCACGUGAAAGUCAUUUCUUUUUCUUCCUUCCUAACCAGCAGCAUAUGGAGAGAAAUAAAAAGGGAGAGAAGGUCGGCCAAAAACGAGAGAAGCAGAGAAAGAAAGGAGGAAGGAAAAAGAGAGAAAGAGAGAGCUGGGAAAGAGAAAUUUUGUGUUGCCACUUAGAGGAGUCAAAAGAGGAGAGUUUUGCUGCAAAUUUUAAGGGAAAAGAAAGCUGAGUUGCUGUUGGAUUUUGAGGAAAGAAAAGAGAGAAAGCUGAGUAUUGGGGUGCUGCCGGCGGUGAGAGAAAGAGAGGAAGAAAGUGCAACCGAUUGGUGCGUGAAAGGAGGGAGAAGAAAGGAAGAGAAAAAUGAGUUGAAGAGAGAGGAAGAAACGGGAAAGAAAGGAGAAAUUAAUAAAUGGUGUACUGUGGUGAAAGGUUGAAGGAAAUAACGAACUACUAGUAAGAAGGAGUAGCUCGAUACGUCUUUGAAUUAAUAACGACGUAACAUCCCGUUAUUGUAAGACAAGGAUCAACCUAACGAAUAAUCAUCAGCGAGUUCGACCCACCGCAAAUAGGUAAAGACAUCUCAUAGCCUUUUAUUUUGAGUCACUCCGUUGUUAGAGAUUGAGUUGUAGUACUUCGAUUUUACUAUGUAAACAAAUAUUAGUUUUGAUAAAAACAUAAAUUUUAGAUUCUUGAACUCAAUGUAUUUAAUUGUGAUAUCAUGACUUAAAGCCAAAAUUUAAUGGCUAUGCUUCUUGUAAAAUUUUAAGUUAUAAAAAUAUAUAUGGUUCAAACAUUAAUAUGAAUUAGUAAAGGUGUACAAUGAGUUAUGGAGAAAUUUC